rnacentral:rRNA from 1 species
AUUGAACGCUGGCGGCAGGCCUAACACAUGCAAGUCGGACGGUAGCACAGAGAGCUUGCUCUUGGGUGACGAGUGGCGGACGGGUGAGUAAUGUCUGGGGAUCUGCCCGAUAGAGGGGGGUAACCACUGGAAACGGUGGCUAAUACCGCAUAACGUCGCAAGACCAAAGAGGGGGACCUUCGGGCCUCUCACUAUCGGAUGAACCCAGAUGGGAUUAGCUAGUGGGCGGGGUAAUGGCCCACCUAGGCGACGAUCCCUAGCUGGUCUGAGAGGAUGACCAGCCACACUGGAACUGAGAAACGGUCCAGAAUCCGACGGGAGGCAGCAGUGGGGAAUAUUGCACAAUGGGCGCAAGCCUGAUGCAGCCAUGCCGCGUGUAUGAAGAAGGCCUUCGGGUUGUAAAGUACUUUCAGCGGGGAGGAAGGGAGUAAAGUUAAUACCUUUGCUCAUUGACGUUACCCGCAGAAGAAGCACCGGCUAACUCCGUGCCAGCCGCCGCGGUAA